rnacentral:tRNA from 2 species
GCCCCGAUCGUCUAGUCCGGUCAAGGAUAGGGCCCUUUCGAAGGCUCUGACACGAGUUCGAAACAAUAGAUGAUCUAAAACAAGGAUGGUUUUAUCCGGCGAUCCAACUAUCCUUCCAUAUUAUCUAUUGAGAAAUUCUCGUUCGGGGCG